GAUGAACGCUGGCGGCGUGCCUAAUACAUGCAAGUCGAGCGAACGGACGAGAAGCUUGCUUCUCUGAUGUUAGCGGCGGACGGGUGAGUAACACGUGGAUAACCUACCUAUAAGACUGGGAUAACUUCGGGAAACCGGAGCUAAUACCGGAUAAUAUUUUGAACCGCAUGGUUCAAAAGUGAAAGACGGUCUUGCUGUCACUUAUAGAUGGAUCCGCGCUGCAUUAGCUAGUUGGUAAGGUAACGGCUUACCAAGGCAACGAUGCAUAGCCGACCUGAGAGGGUGAUCGGCCACUCUGGAACUGAGACACGGUCCAGACUCCUACGGGAGGCAGCAGUAGGGAAUCUUCCGCAAAGGGCGAAAGCCUGACGGAGCAACGCCGCGUGAGUGAUGAAGGUCUUCGGAUCGUAAAACUCUGUUAUUAGGGAAGAACAUAUGUGUAAGUAACUGUGCACAUCUUGACGGUACCUAAUCAGAAAGCCACGGCUAACUACGUG
rnacentral:rRNA from 1 species